rnacentral:lncRNA from 1 species
AUUCAGGGACAACCAUCAGAGCCAAGGCUUCCUGAAUGACCCAUAUGGGCCGGUCACCUUUCUAAGAACAUUCCAUGCAUCUUUAACUUUAUUCUCACAAACCUUCUACAGGCAGGUGCUGUUAUAAUCCCAGCUAGCAAGUGGGCAUAGGCAGCCUGUGGGGUGAGCUGAGCCCUUCACCCCUGGGACAUGCUGUCCUCUGGGUACCGUGAGGCAGACUGGAAAAGUGCUACAGCAGACAGCUGACACCCUGGAGCGACGCGGGACCAGUGGUCUCUGGGAAAACGUGAGCUACAACGGCAGGCUGAGGAGAAUGUCUGGGUCAGAGCCUGGCUUUUGGAGGAUCCUGCUGUGCGUGCAGGAUUAUUUGAGGACUGCUGUGGAUUGAAUUGUGUCCCCAUCUCCACACCUCCAAAUCCACAUAUGAAGCCCCAGUGCCCAGCCUGGUUGCACUGGGAGU